GCUUUCUGCUAAGCCUCGGUCUUCUUCCUGGCAGGAGAGACCUUUGACCCAUGUGUAUCCUGAUCCGUGGCUAGGAAGUACCCAGUACGGCGGCGCGCCACUCGGGAGGCCUGUUCCAGGUAGCCUGAAUCUUCGACCCAACUCAGCCAAUGAAUAAGGAAGAAACUUAAGUGACAUGGGCCGGCAAUACACCAAAGUAUGCAGAUGACUGGCAGCUGAACCAAGGUGUUAAGCCUCUCUGGGAAUCAACAUUAAAACAAGAGCUCAGAAAUUCUUCCUAUGGUUUAGAAUAAAACUAAGAAUCUUUCUCUAAAUGUCUAAGGCCAAAAAGGCACCGGGUCAUGGUCCUCUCUGCCAUCCACAGGACUCUUCUUUCUGGCUUUAAACAUCUGCUGUUUGUUUACCUUGCCACCCAACCCAGGAGGCUAGCUGGCUUUGCUAAUAUACCCAACAGUCCCCUCAGACACACAUUCACAUCUUCCCCACGGACAUAUUUGUGGUUUGUGACAUUUUACAGGCUUGGAUGAAGCUGCCUGAGAAGUAUGAGAGAUAUGUCUCAUCUAGCAAAGUGGUCCGGGGCCCAGCCCCAAUAAUUGGCCUACUGCUCUGAUCCCAAGCCAGUGGAGACUGACCCCAUCAGCAGAGGUGUCCACUCAGAUAUCUUCCAACCCUUGUCAAACAUGUCUCCUCCCAUGUACAGUCUUCUCCUGGGAUAGAGGAUGCAAGGUAGCAGGGGCCAACUAUUUAGCUUUCUUGUUCCAACUUCAGGGCUCAGCAGAACUGCCACGGAAUUUCAAAAGCUUCGUCUUUUCCUUUUGUAGAGAGAACUUUAAGAGACACAGGGGAAUUGCCCCAAGGCACACAGCAGGUAGCAGUAGGCACAAGUUGUGCCAGGAUAGAAGCAGAGUCUAAAGCCAGUUGCACUUUCACCAACUAUGACUCUGACCCCAGUCCCUAAGCCUUCCGGCCUUUGUCCCCUUCUGUGUUAUUACCCAAUGCCUGAGAUGGCUAUCCAGUCCUGCCUGGAGCAAUCCCAGAGCAUGCCUGUUGUCACAGCACAACAAUUAGUAAAGCCACUGUCCUUCUCUUAGGGUCUUGGACAUGCUAACACUUCUAAGUGUGGCAAUUCGCUCAUGGUCUGUGUACACACUCCUCAUGAAGCCCAGCAGAAAUGGCUAGUUCUUCACAGAGGCCCAUGUGGCUGUCAGUAACCAAGGCAACCAUGACCAAUCAGCCAAGAUGGUCAGGGACAGUGAUGUGUCCUCUAGUGACUCAGGAAAAUCUAGUGGCUCCCGGGACACAGCCUUCCUCCCAUAAAGGGAAGAGAAUGAAAGUCUCUGGUUUUCACUUGUUGACAAGUCAUGUUGGAAAUAAAACUCUUGCCCAGUGUGGUGGCACACACCUUUGAUCCUAGCACUUGGGGAGGCAGAUCUCUUGAGUUUGAGGCCAGCCUGAUCUACAGAGUGAGUUCCAGGACAGUCAGGGAUAUGCAGAGAAACCCUGUCUUGAAAAACAAACAAACAAGAAGCCUUUAAGAAGCAUGAGGAUGAUGCCAGUGUUCAUGGGAGGGCACUAACUUUGUAGAAGGAGUAUGUUGUAUUUCUGCAUAAAAUAACAUGAAGAAGUUAAAGAGGGGGGGGGGGUGGAGAGGAUGCUCAGUGGAUAAAGCGCUUGCUGCACAGGUUUGAAUCCUCAGAAGCCCUGUGCAGGUCUAUAAUCCCAUGGCAGGACGGGAGGUGGAGAGAGGAGAAUCCCUGGGAGCUCUGAGGCCAGCUCGCCUAGAGUACUCAGUGGCAGACAUCAAGAGAUCCUGCCUCAAGCAUGCUGGAAUGCAUACAGGCCUCUGAAGUUGUCCUUCAACUGCCAUACAUGAGCCAAGACACACACAUGCACACACACACACACACACACACACACACACACACACGAAGAUGCAUGCACACACAUGCGAGUGUACCCAGAGACAGAGACAGAAAGAGGCAGAGAAAUUUAAAAGAGAAAAUUCAAAGAAAUUAUUGUAAAUUUGAUAGAAAUGUUUGCCUUCUCUGGUAUGUUCAAAUCUUCAACAUAUAAAAAGCAUUCACAUCUAAGCAAGAAAUGACCCUCGAUAGGAAAAAAACUGCCAAAUCAUACAAAUACGGGGGAGGAGGAGACCCUUUAUCCUUACAGCACGUACAAAGGCGUGGCGACUUAAAUGGCUUCAAGGUAGGUAACAAAAGGCACAUCAUUAUCAUGUGUAUUCUGUGGAACGUGGUUGGGCAAGCAGACAGACGAGUGAGUCUAAAUGGGAACACUUGUAAGAUCUGGAAGCAGUCGCUUUUACACUGUGUCCUAUGAAAGCCUGACUCUGAGCUUAGCGAUUCACUGGUGAAGUUUUCAGGACUUGUUAGAAGAUCAGCUACCAGAAUGUUCCUAACAGUGAGGGACAGGAGAGGACAAUUUUUCAUGCUCUGUCAUGGAGUGGGAUCAACCAUACUUAAUCCUGAAGCAAAGGUAUUGACACAGUAUUGAUUGGAAGAACUGUCUUAACCAAUCUUAUGAACCAAACUGUAUGAAGAGAAAAGUUCCCAUGGCGCCACCCUGCGGUAGCAGGCGCGUGCGCAUGCGCAUGACAACCUUCUUUAAGGGUCUGGGGCCUGAGUUGUGUGAUUUGCCUUCUUCAUCUUGCCUGCUCUAAGGAGCUAUCCAUCCAUCACAGUGAUUUACGUCAUGCGCUCUCAAGUUAAGGUGUCCUACUCCGAACCUAGCACUCUCGCCUAGUACCCACAGGAAGCGUGUUCACACUUGAGUUUUCUCAUCUACAGACUGGGAUCUGAUAUUACCCCAGCUAGUCCGAAGAUCAAAUGUUGCCGGGAUGAUCCCUGGUGAGUGUUCAGCAGGCAUAGCUCACAGGGUAAGAGGGAAAUGCCAGCUACACUGUCCUCAAGAGGAUACUAUGAGAAGCAUAGACGUGCAUUUUUCAUUAAAGAAAUUCAUAUUCA